rnacentral:lncRNA from 1 species
CCACAGAAGCCAUGAGUAGUAGCAGGAGGCAAUUAUAAGUUUUGGCAAGUCCAAAAUAUGCGCUUUUUUCAAGUGGAGCAAGAUCAAAAGUAUAAUAUUAGUGUUUUAUUCAGUAGUUAUUCUGGUAAUUUAUUUCUUAUUUCUUAAACUGUGAAUUUAGUAUUUAGGACAAGUGCUAGGUUUUCAGCCUUAAAGAUUAAAUUCUUCAGGCUAAGGAUCUUCAGAUUUGUGUCCUUUGGAUGGAAGUAAAAAAAAUUGUGAUACUCAUAUGUCAGAAAAGUCCUCAUGCUUGAUUAUUUGUUAAAAGUUCUGAUUUCCUUCCUUUGCCUGUCUUUAGAAGUAAAACAGCUAAGACUCCAGUAUUGAUGAUGAUUUUGGGCAGCAAAGAUCUUCUUGGAAAAUGCUUGAUAGUUAUCAAGGUAAAUACCUUUGGGCCACUGCAUUUUUUUAAUGCAAUGAAGAUUUUUCACUGAAUCCUUCAUGCCACUUCAUAUCUAACCUACAGUGGCCCAAGUUACUACUUAACUGUAAUUGGGCUACAACUUGGGCCACUGUAGGUUGGAUAUGAAGUGGCAUGAAGGAUUCAGUGAAAAAGCUUCAUUGCAUUAAAAAAAAGUCUGUAUUUUUAGGCUGGGCACAGUGGCUCAU